GUGUACUUAGCUCAGUGGUUAGAGCAUCACUCUUAAAUGUUGAGGUCGCAGGUUUAAUUCCUGCAGUGCACA
rnacentral:tRNA from 1 species